rnacentral:lncRNA from 1 species
CCGGGCACGGAAUUCCCUCGGGAUAUCCUGGAUGGAGCCAGAGCCAAACCGAAUCCAAUUCCAAACCCAGUCCCAGAUCCAAUCCUGAGUCCAAUCCCAAAUCCAAACCCGAAUCCAAUCCCAAAUCCGAUCCCAAACCUAAUCCCAAACCCAAUCCUGAGUCCAAUCCCAAACCCAAUCCCAAAUCCAAACCCAAAUCCAAUCCCAAACCCAAUCCAAAAUCCAAUCCCAAACCAAAUCCCAAAUCCAAUCCUGAAUCCAACCCCAAACCCAGUCCCAGAUCCAAUCCAAAACUCAUUCAGAAUCCAAUUCCAGAUCCAAUUCCUGAUCCAAUCCCAAAUCCACCCCAGAUCCAAUCCCAAACCUAAUCCCAAAUCCAAUCCUGAAGCCAAUACCAAACCCAACCCCAGAUUCAAUCCCAAACCCAAAUCCGAUCCCAAUCCCAAAUCCAAACCCAGAUCUGACCCCAAAUCCAAUCCCAAUCCCAAAUCCAAUCCCAAACUCAAAUCCAACCCCACAUCCAAUUCCAAAUCCAGUCCCAAACCCAAAUUCAGUCCCAAUCCCAAAUCCAACCCCAGAUCCGACCCCAAAUCCAAUUCCAAACCCAAAUCCAACCCCAGAUCCAAUCCCAAAUCCAGUCCCAAACCCAAUCCAAUCUCAAACCCAAAUCCAAUCCCAAAUCCAACCCCAGAUCUGAUCCCAAAUCCAAUCCCAAACCCAAAUCCAACCCCAGAUCCGACCCCAAAUCCAAUCUCAAAUCCAAAUCCAACCACAGAUCUGAUCCCAAAUCCAAUCCCAUACCCAAAUCCAAUCCCAAUCCCAAAUCCAACCCCAGAUGCGAUCCCAAAUCCAAUCUCAAAUCCAAAUACAAUCCCAAACCCAAAUCCAAUCCCAAUCCUAAAUCCAACACCAGAUCCGAUCCCGAAUCCAAACCCAAACCCCAAUCCAAUCUCAAACCCAAAUCCAAUCCUAAACCCAAAUCCAACCCCAGAUCCAAUCCCAAAUCCAGUCCCAAACCCAAUCCCAAACUGA